rnacentral:lncRNA from 1 species
CUCCCCCUUUUUGAUGAUUACAAAAUAAAGAGUAUGAGCCUAUUGAUACUUAUCUUAAAAUUAGUUUUAAAAGGGCUUAACUUGCUGAAAUUCAGCUUUUCAAAAUAUAAGAGUGAAGUCUCCCCCUAUAUCAUUCAAAUGUUGCCAAUUUGACUUUUUGAAUUGCUCCCCCUUUCAUUUAUAAUUCAUUAAAGAUGAAACUCCAAAAAUUUGAGAUAAAACAUGAGUUUCAGGUUAUGUAUCGAGAUGUGAAAGGUGCGUGCCAAAUUCUGAAAUUCUAUGUGCCAAAUUCUGAGAUUUGAUAGAAAUUUUUGAUUUGAUCAUUUUCAUUGUUACAAAUUGCUCCCCCUUAAAUGUAUAUGCUUUCCUAUAUAAUUUUUAAUUUGUUUUACUAGUAAUUUCCUUUUUUUUCUUACACAAUUUCUUAUUUCUCCUUGUUAUUUCUCUUUCUUUACUUCAACUUCUUAUUACUCUUUCUUUACUUCUCCCUCUUUUUGUUAUCAUCAAAUAGGUGCAUGGAAAAAGACACAAUAAAUAACAAACAUUCAAACUUCAUUGAUCAAAAUAGAAACAUUUUAGUACAUUCAUGCCAAAAACAAAAGCAAUUACAAUGUUCC